GGAGGUGUGGCUCAGUGGUAGAGCACAUGCUUGGCAUGUGCAAGGUCCUGGGUUCAAUCCCCAGGUGACCCCC
rnacentral:tRNA from 1 species